AUAUAAACAACACAAUACAAAUAAACAAUAGAUUCUUCGCAUAAAAAUAAAUCCAUAUAUUAAUGUCAUUCAUCAAAUAAUAUGAAUGCUACACAACAUUCUCAUACUGUGAUAAUGCCUCAUUACUUGUCUCCACAAAACAAAAGAGUGCACAUCUUUAAGUGAAUCAAGCACAUGGGUCCUUUUUUAGGUUAUUUUUAGAUACACAAUCAAUGGAUUGCAGUUAAUGCUCUCAUAAUACUCUGGUGGAGCAGUGGCAAAAUGGAAGCUUCUGUGUCUCUAUUAAUUAGAACUUUGUGACCUGGUUGUGCAUUUAUUGACACAAAAAGUCCACAAAAAAACUGUUGCAAUGAAACAAAAUUGUUUGUUACCAAAGCACUGUUCACUGUACCCGUGUAUUGGUCUUAUCAGCAACAUUGAAGCAUUCUUUUUACCUGCAUUCCAUUCGUCAAUGGGCCUUUUAAAGCAAAACCCACAAACACUACGAUUCCAUAAUGUUACAGAUCCAUAAUUGGAGACUUCCAAAUCAGGGUUGUGGUUGUUGUGGACUUAGUUAACCCUCCAUAGGUCUCAGAUAAUGCAACACUUUGAGGCCCUCUAAACCUUGAAAUAGUGCACACCACUUUACCCACAUUUCUCUCACCAAUUUUAGGACUUCGUCCUGCUUUGGUGGAGGCUUAUUAGUUCCACAAUGGCAUCCACCCAAACAUGAUCAUCAGCUCACAUUUUACAUGACAAAGUUUAAUGCAGAGUUCUACAGUUGUAGCACAUUUGCAAGCAAUGCCAAUGACUAAAUUAGGGUUUGAUUGGAAGCUGUGCUUUGUUAUGUCUUGGCAUGCAGGAAUUGUUGGUCUUGGAUCCUCAGUUGAGUUGAUUCAAUUUCCUUGAAUGUUUCCCUUGUGGAUUCCAUCACACAAAAUUGCCCCAAGUCCUAUUAAUGCCUUCAUAUAUGUCUUUUCCAGGCGCCUCUUUUUAAAGCCUUUUAGGGUUUUGUAGCCCUUGUCUAUUCUAAUACUUUUGGACUUUCUUUGCCAUGGUAGUAGUCUCUGGAACUUAAUGUUUUUCCGUCUGUGUUGAAGAAAUACAUUACAGUUUCAAAAAAGUAGAAUGAGAUUUUCAAAUCCAACUACAAUCAUACCAGUUUUAAGCAAAAUCAAAAUAUAUAGUAUAACACUUCAUGUCUCCUCUCCAUAUUGCAUUAUUAUUAGGAAAUAAAUAAUCAUAUUUUUUAUUUGCAAAUAAAAAGUUUGCCAUCAAAGUUCAUGUCUAUCAAGUGAAAAAUGAAAAUAUUUAUACUUCAGCAAUUAUAAGAAUAUAUUACCAUGUACAUGCAGGUAUGACUACAUAUAUAUAUAUAUAUAUAUAUAUAUGUACACACACCUAAUAUUCAUUCGCAUUCAAAGACAGAUUACAACUUAAAACUGAUUGGAUAAGUAAUACAGUUUUAUUCCCUUUUCAUUUUUCUUGUUUCGAGUUUUAUUCAAGAUUUCAAUUAUAAACACUUCUAACUUUGAUGUGAAAAAAAAAUCACAAAUAGAUCUGAAUUCAAUGUAAGCAAUUGUACUAAAAACAUAUUCAUAUCAAUCACCAAAUUAAAAACUUGACAAAAAAAAAUAAAUAGAUUUUUUGAUACAUGUUAA
rnacentral:lncRNA from 1 species